AUUGAACGCUGGCGGCAGGCCUAACACAUGAAAGUCGAACGAGUGGCGGACGGGUGAGUAAUGUCUGGGAAACUGCCCGAUGGAGGGGGAUAACUACUGGAAACGGUAGCUAAUACCGCAUACCAUCGGAUGUGCCCAGAUGGGAUUAGCUAGUAGGUGGGGUAACGGCUCCACUAGGCGACGAUCCCUAGCUGGUCGGAGAGGAUGAACAGCCACACUGGAACUGAGACACGGUCCAGACGCCUACGGGAGGAAGCAGUGGGGAAUAUUGCACCAUGGGCGCAAGCCUGAUUCAGCCAUGCCGCGUGUAUGAAGAAGGCCUUCGGGUUGUAAAGUACUUUCAGCGAGGAGGCGUUACUCGCAGAAGAAGCACCGGCGAACUCCGUGCCAGCAGCCGCGGUAAUUC
rnacentral:rRNA from 1 species